UGAAAUAAUGUGGACACAUAGAUUUCUGUAAUCCAGAUUCUGCCCUCAACUAAAUUUGGAUUUAUAAUCCAGCUGUACCCCGAUGCACAGACGUUGAACGUUGUGUGCAGAACAUUUUGUGCAUGUGAGGUGCGGAUGUCCUUGUUUCGUUUCAAUUUGCUGAUAAAGUUGGGUUGAUUGAAACGGAUGUCAUGAUGGCGGCCCCCAUGUCGUGGAGGAAGCUUGUGUACUCACCGGUCCUCACCGGGGUUUUCACCCGAAUAUCAGACCGAUUGUUCCGCACACGGGAUCGGAGGAGAGGGUCAUCCGUGUUGCUCUUAGCCCCUCUCCUAGCGGAGGCAGACCCUUCUCCCCGUCCUGUCGUCGGGUCCCCUGGGUUGGCUGAAGUUCAGGGCACCGAUGGCCUCCGUGCCCACUUCCGCUGGAUGGCAGAACACGUGCCCGCCUUCAGGGUGCCCGGCACACACAUCCACAUUCUCACAUCCCCUGACCAAUUCUACCACACCAUGAAGGCCCGUAUCAAGACUGCUAAGAGGCGGGUGGUGAUGGCCUCCCUGUAUCUGGGUACAGGGCCGCUGGAACAGGAGCUGGUGGACUGUAUGCAGGAAGCUCUGGAGCGUUCACAGGAGGGUGACAACCCCGACCUGCAGGUCUCCAUUCUACUUGACUACACGCGUGGCUCACGAGGUAAGACUAACUCUAGGACCAUGUUAUUGCCGUUGCUGAAGCAGUACAGCAGUCAGAUGCGUGUAUCUUUGUACCAUACCCCUGACCUGAGAGGGCUGCUCCGGCUCCUGGUCCCACAGCGCUUCAACGAGACCAUCGGGGUACAGCACAUCAAAGCUUACUUGUUUGAUGACGACCUCAUCAUCAGCGGGGCCAACCUGAGUGACUCGUACUUCACCAACAGACAGGACCGCUACGUGCUCCUUGAGAACUGUGGGGAGGUGGCCGACUUCUUCUCUGAUCUGGUGGGCGCCGUGGGUGACGUGUCGUUACAGCUACAGACCGACAACUCUGUGAGCAUGAUGUACGGCAUGGUGCACCCCUACAGAGGCAACAGGGAUGAUUUUUCGGCGUCGGCUCGGCAACACAUCAUGGAGGUGGUCAACACUGCUCACGUGCGGCAACACAUCGCCGAAUCAGAACGUUUAGUGCGGGAGAGCGAGGGGGAGGAAGGAGGGAAGGAGGAUACUUGGGUUUUCCCUCUGGUUCAGAUGAAACCUCUGGGAAUACAGGUGGAUGAGCAGGUCACACAGCGUUUGCUGACUGAUGCAGGUCCCGGUGUGACGGUGUUUCUGACGUCGGGGUAUUUCAACCUGACCAGGGCCUACAUGUCGCUGGUUCUCGGGCUGGGUGCCGACUACCGGAUCCUCACCGCCUCCCCGGAGGUCAACGGGUUUUUCGGCGCCAAGGGCAUUGCCGGAGAGAUCCCAGCCGCCUACAUCCACAUUGCCAGACAGUUCUACAGCAAAGUGUGUCAGCUGGGACAGCAGGAGAGGGUUCACCUCCACGAGUACCACAGAGCACAAUGGACCUUCCAUGCCAAGGGGUUGUGGUACUACCUACGGGGGCAAGUGCGGCCAUGCCUGACACUGAUUGGGUCUCCUAACUUUGGCUAUCGCUCUGUGCACCGGGACCUGGAGGCCCAGAUCGCCAUAGUAACAGAGAACCAGGUACUACAGGCCCAGCUGCAGGAGGAGCAGGAGAUGUUGUACCAGAGGUCGACAGAGGUGUCCAGCUCUACGUUCCAGCAGCCAGACCGCCAUGUGAAACUGUGGGUCAAACUGCUUACUCCCCUCAUCAAGAACUUCUUCUGAGAGACACCGCCUAACACAGGCCACUUGAAGCCAUUCCAGCCCAGGACCUCCACAUCCGGCUUCUUCACCUGCAGAAUUGUCUGAGACCAGCUGAUGAAACUGAAGCAGACUGCGGCCAAUACCCACUUGGCAGGCUUCUCCUUGGUCUUGAGGUUGAAGGUCCAGAUGGUGGGGCCCCUCAUACAGGUCUUGUUGAUGGGACACUCCUCAUACACGUUCUUGGUCUCCUGGUGUUCCACCGGUACCACCUUGAUGAAGAUCGGCAUGUUGGGUGUCAGCUCCUUUAGACAAGCGUCCCCUAUCAUCCCCUUCUGGGUGUCCCAGCGCGCCCCUGCGCACACACACACACACACUGUAUAAAGGGUUGAACUCUAAACAUAGAAACAUUUGUCAUCACUCCAACCCCUGUGACAUCGCCACAUUGUGUGUUUGUACAGCACUGUAGAUAGACAAACAGAUCCCUUAGUUUAUCAAUGCUUGAAAUAUAGUACUGUUUUUACUGCUGCGUUUUCAUUGAAAUACAAACAUUCGCUACAUAUAGACCAGCAGGUGGAACUGUAGCACAGGAUGUUUUGUACAUUCAAUAAAUUCUCUUUCGUUCUGUAUUGACAGAGUGGAAUCUGGUACAUGAGUCUGUGACUAAAUAGCCGGGUGUGUGUCUGAGGGGGAAUACACUAACGUGUGUAUGUGUGAAGGUGACUAGACAAACAGGUGUGUACAGCUGUGUAUGGAGUAUUUGCGUCGUCAUGAUUAUUUGGCCGGUAAAACUUUGCUUCUUGAAAGUCCAAUAUCUUGAAAACUUGACUGCUGACAUGCAAAACAUUUUGGGACUGUAUCAACAGCGGACUAAUAAAUAAAAAAAUACCAAAAGA